ensembl:antisense
ACUAAGAAAUUUUACACUGAGCUUUUGCGGGGCUUCCUGCUGUCUUAGUCAGGGUAACCGUUUUCUGUAGCCCAUCGCCCUUCAAGAGUUUUGAAGACAUCCACAAUCUCCCCUUCUUAACCUUUGCCAAGCUGACUUUAUCAUGUAGUCGGUGACUCAAGGAGGAGGGAUUUUGCUUCCAGGGGGACAUCUGGCAGAGCUCGGCUGUCAGCCCUUGGAAGGGAGGAAGCUCUGCUUCCACGUAGAUGACAGCAGCCAAGAGACAAAAACAGCUUACGCUGUGCACAAUGGCCUUCGCAACACGGAGCAGGUUUUGCUUCAAAACAUCAACAGUGCUGAUGCAGCUGAGAAGACAACGGCUAGGACAGAUGGCUUCGCUGGCAUCUCCUCGGACCUUCCCAGGCUCGCCCACGCAGAUUUAGUAUUCCCUCAACGCCUCAAAACCCCACAGGGUUGGGACCACUCAGACUCAACAAGGCAACACUAUGUAUCUCAGGCUGGACUCCUACUUGUAAUCUUCCCGCCUCAGCCUCCCAAGGACUGUGCUUAAAGGCAUAUGCCAACAAGCCCAGCUCCUGAAUCCUCUCUAUAGUAUGUAUAACAUUCUUACUAUUUAUCCACAAUGUGAAGUUCAAAGAUACAUCAUCUGGGGUUUCCUAGCAUUGGGUUAACAGGACCCUGAGCCUGUUGCUCACAUAAAAAUGGUAAAACAGGAGCCCAGAGGGAUUUGGUAUUUGGAUCUCACAUAGGUACGUAACGGGCACAAAGCUUCAGACGUACAGAAGGCAGCUCAGACUGCCGACUGCUGAAAGUGAGUUUCAGGAAACAGGUUCGUUUUUCUAAGCCCCUGAAAUCAGGUUUGCUCCCUGAGAAUGGAAAUUAAGGCAGUGGCGAACUUUGUACCAGGCUGGGGUUGACAUUUAUGCUUGCUGAAAUGGUAAAACUUUAAGUUAUUGUCUGCAUUUCAACGGGGAAAUUAUCUGGACUCACAAGUCAAUGUUGCCCUUAAGUCAUGACUAUUUACUAUAUAGCCCAAAAGAGAGACAUGUAAUGGAACCCCAUCUCUUCCUAUGUUCGACAUACGGCCUGUGUUCAGUAAGGACCUGCUGACAGUGUGGAAACCUCUCCCAGGUGUCAGUGGCAAUUACACUGUAAACCUGAGGAACAAAACCAACUCUAAUCAGUAGAUUCACCAAGUGUUAUAUAUCUCCAGGGCUGACAACAGUAGGAAAGCGAUGCUCUAAUCCGCUUCUCAGACGGGCCGACACUACCCAGAGUACGGCACUUAGAUGUCUCUGGAGUGUAACUCAGUUACUACUGGAAAUACCUCUUCAUUAAAUUACUUUCUCUGAAGACUUCAAAUCCGAGUAGAACUAUUGCUCAAUAAAUUUCUCCUAAUUAAACAUGCAGUACUACAGGUAAAUUUAAUAACCAAGUCUCUUGAACUUUAUUAAAUGCAAUCAGAUACAAAUUAGAAACAGCUAAUUAUGAAUAAAUGUUAAAUGAGAGGCAGUAUGAACAUUUUAAAGCUCACUGUGUUCCGAUGGGUAUAUGUACACACACACACACACACGCUUCCGUACUUUCACAGUAGUAGCUUCCUAUAGAAGUAAUUUUUUUUUUAAGCACAUUACAUUAUGAAAGCCUUAUUCCACAUGGGAACAGUCCAAUGGCGCUUACUCUAUUCUUUGGGGAGAGACAGAGUUCCAUUCUCAGAAUACCAAAUUACUAAUCCCAUCAGUUAUUACAAACACUCAAAGAAUGCACAUGCCUUCACUCAGACACCAACAACCAUAUUUUAACCACCCAGUUGUUGAAAAUUAUGUGAGAGCUAACGGAAAGUUGAACAUUUUCGCCUACAUAAACCCAGUCAGUUUGUCUAUGACAAAGUCUCUUCAUUGAAAUGCUCGGGCAUGCACAAAUGGAAUGCACUGUUUUUCUAAGUGCUGAAUUUCUCAAGCAGUGGAAAAAAAUUCUUUCUCUCCUCUAUCCAAGGCACUAACCUGGCAGCAGUGCAUUUUAACACCCUCACCACAGGCGGUAUGUAAAAUCUUAUCUGUAAAUAACGAAGUCAACCUGGUUCUUUUAAGGGAAACAAAGGAUUUUCCCAACACGUAAAGAAAUAAGAAGUUUAAUUGGCACAGAAAGCAAACCGGCCAGUAUUUUUGUCAAAAUUGUUCCCUAUAUACUCAGAUUUAGUGUCUGAGAUCUAGAACCUGCAAUCUAUGCAUGCAGUGCCUAGCAGAGUUCACAUACAAGUAGAGCUCUGGGCUUAAAGGGAAAAAGAAAAAUCAGUAGAUUAGAAUACGCUAAAACCAUUUCACAAAAUGAAGCAUGAAACUGGUUCUAUGUCUUCUGCUACCAAUGACUGGGAGGACGGUGGGAAUCUGAAGCCUUCUCCAGGCUCAACACUUAGAAGUAUUUUGCAGGGCCAGCUCUUUCCUGAUUUUAUUCUGGAACUCCUUGGCCCAGGCUCAGUUUACCUUCCUGGCUUGGGCUAUCUCUGUGCUACCUCUAGACAAUGCGACAGGGCCCCUUCCCAGAAACAAUCACUCUGUGGCCUGUUUCAACAGCCAGAUUCUAUGCAUGAUACUCUACUGUAAAAAGGAAUGUGGGCUUGCAAGGUAUAGGACACGGGGUACCCCCUUUUUCUCUGAGAAUUGACCCAACACAGGGAGAUAUAUAUCAUACUCUCCUGGCAUUUCUGAGCCAGAGAAAACAUUCUCAUUAAAAUGCUGAAUUACUAAGCCAGAAUUUGCCUGACUAGUUUAAGAGCCUAAAAUGACUCAAAAAAAAAAAAAAAAAAAAAAAAAAAAAAAAAAAAAAAAAAACUGAAUUAGAAAAAUAAAGUUCCCCCACCCCCGUGGGAUUAUCAGUCUUAAUUUAUGUUAAUACUGGUAAUCCCAGAAUUCUUGACACUCAAGCUUAUUAGGGCUUUAUCUUUGUUCCUUGGCAAAGUUUUUUUUCCCCCCUAAAUCCUUUGCCUUAUACAUUAAACAGUAGUUAAAAAAGAUUUAAUCCAUUUCUGCAGCGCUAUGUGGAGAUAUGCUUCAACGCCUAGAAGCAGUUCUAGAAAAAAAAAUGUGAGAUACGCUGUUCAAGCACAAACACAAAACCCCACGGCUCCCGCACUACCUGACUCGAUCGAGUAGAGCACUUCAGCAUUCUUCCCUUUGUCUUUGUCCAGAGCCGUCACCUGCAACACAACUGAGCCCACGGCUGCCGAUUCAUAAACCCGCCCGUCGUAGGACGGACUGGUGAACCACGGCGCGUGGUCAUUCUUGUCACUGACAUUGACAACGAUCCUGGCAAAGUUGCGUUUCACGGGGACAUCCUGAUCCCGGACCUGGGGGCAGAAAAAAAAAAAAAAAAAAAUCAACACGCUGUUUACUGGAGUUUUUCUUUCUUGUGGAUUAAAAACAAACAAACAAAAAACAAAAAACCCAAAACAAUAAAAUAAUAAAUACACAUACAUACAUACAUACAUACAUAACAUCACUAUGCUUUUCCAUCCCAGGAAACCUGCCAGUCAGACAGAGAGAUGGCAGAGAAAAGAAAGGGUGCCUUCCGUACCAUGACCGUGAGAAUGUGCUGGUGAAUGGCUUCGUGAUCAAGCUUUUCAGCGGUGUAAAGAGCGCCGGUUGCGGGAUCGAGGCGGAAUUUCUUGAGGCUGGCUGGGUCGAUGCUGCUCUGCAGAGUGUAGAUCAAUUUGUUUUUCUCAUCCCUAUCCGCUGCACUGACCUGUAGAAUCUCCGUUUCUGGCUCUGUGUCCUCGGGAACGGCAACUUCGUAUUUCGAUGUAGAAAACUGGGGGCGGUGGUCAUUGGUAUCUAUUACUUUGAUGAGGACCUGGAGCGAGUGACAAAGACACUCACGUAAAGACACAUUCACAAUUUCGUUUUAAUACUUAAAAAUACAUACAUAUUGAAAAGAUGCCAUUGAGCCAAACUAAAUACGGACAUGAGGAAGAAAAGCCACGAAAAUCUAGACUCAAAG